rnacentral:lncRNA from 1 species
AAGAACCUAUCUUCCUAGAAAAGGGCAUGUAGUUGUGCACCUAGAAAGUCACUGUAAUGUGGGGGCGCACGUAUAGGCGCCGGCCACCUAGGGCAGAGAAGGACCCAACAUCUGGGUCAGCUUAGUUAAUUUGAGUAAUUAAGAGUCCAGAUUGGAGAUAGAAAGGUUUCGUCCCGUAGAAGGUUUUCCCUACUGUUUCCAAUUUGAUUAGGAGUCCUAUUCCAAUUCUGUAAGAGUCUAGCUUGAUCCCUAAGUCUGUAAGGGCUAUUUAUAGUCCCCCCUAGUCAAUCAAUAAAGCAAGCAAUCAAAAAACCCAAACCCUAUCUUCCCCUGCGCCAUGGGCGCCCCAAUUCCCUGCCACGGGGCGACGAGGUUACAAGCCUCGUCCUCCCGUAGAGCACCCUUACUUCCUGCGAUCUUCCUCUAAUUCCCAAAUUCCCCAAGCACGUGACGAUUUGGUAUCAGAGCAGUCGAUCUCCGCUGCACCUGAAGCCAUGUCGACCAGCCCCAAACAGCCCAAUCCACCCAAAACCCUAGAGGAACUCAUCGCCAAGGAGCACGAAGAUUUUGAGGGCGUUACUCAGAGCCUUGGCGAAGUCGCCGAUGGCAUCGAACUCCUUCGCAAAGACGUUACAACGACCCUUGAUGCCCUCGAAGAAACUCUGCGGAAGAUGCAACUGAACUACGACGAUCUAUCUCAGCAGCAACGGGCGCAAAAUUUGGCCAUCACCCGGCUGGAACGUGCCAGCCAUGGUGGUCCCUCCCUCGACGCGGAGGAUUCGCCGCGGGCAGCCAUGCAUCAUGGCCCCUUCCGCCGCCCGACAGCUCCACUCGGGGCAGGAGAAGACCGGCCACCUCGCCUCUACAAGCUCGAUUUCCCCACCUACGACGGCACGAGUGACCCUUGACCCUAGCCGACGAGAUGCAAUCUCUUCUUCAUCGGACAGCGAACUCUUGCCACUGACAAGACCUGGCUGGCGUCCUACCACCUCACGGAUGUCGCUGCCCUUUGGUACGGCAUCUGGAAGAGAAGAUGGGGCGGCCUUCUUGGACAGAAUUCGUCGACCUCAUCUCCCAGCACUUCGGGCCUCCUACACGUGCCAACCCCUUCGGCGAGCUGAUUUCCCUAAGGCGCACCGGCUCGGUGGCUGACUACACCCGGCAGUUCCUACAAUUGGUGUCCCGUGUCAAGCUGAUUCCAGACGAAGCGGAGCGCAACAUAUUCACCAACAACCUCGGCGAGCCUCUCAAAACCCAGGUCGAGAUGCUUUGCCCGACCACUCUCGAGGCUGCCAUGGACAUGGCUGUCUCCUUCGAGCAUCUUGCCUCCGUAACUGCAGCAGCAUGCCCCACACGCCCGAACAGGCCACCGCGUCCGCCCAAUACUGCCUAGGUUGUCGCUACCGACGUGAUCCCAGGAGCAGCACCCGUCUUCAAGAAGCUGAGCGCCGCCGAGAUGGAGGAACGGCGGGCCAAGGGGCUGUGCUUCAAUUGUGAUGAGAAAUUUGUCCGUGGGCAUCGCUGCAAGCGCUUAUUUUAUAUCGAGGUCGCCGACGAGGAGGAGGAGGAGGAGGAGAACCUCCAAAUCUCACUCCUCGCCAUCACCGGCGUCCGCACCAGCGACACCAUGCAACUGGUGGUGCGGGUUGGGGAGCGUGAGCUCCUCGCCCUCCUCGACUCGGGCAGCACCGACAACUUCAUCAGCAAGGAGUUAGCAGCACACGUUGGCGCCCCGUUCUCUACUGGUCGUCGCCUUCGGGUGACCGUCGCCAAUGGAGACCACGUCACCUGCGGCGGGCUGCUUCGACACACCGCCAUCGCCAUCGGUCAAGAGAGCUUUGUGGUGGACCUUUAUGCCAUCCCAUUGGGCGGCUUCGACGUCGUCUUGGGUACUCGCUGGCUCAAGACUCUUGGACCCAUCCUAUGGGAUUUUGAGCGGCUCUACAUGUCCUUCUGGCGGACAGAUCACCGCGUCGAGUGGUACGGCCUCUCAGCCACGGGCCACCUCCACCAUGUCCAAGUCAGCACAGCUCGUGACCUCCUCGACAACCUCCUCGCCAACUUCUCGGAUGUUUUCGCCGAGCCCAAGGGGCUGCCGCCAUCACGCACCCACGACCACCGCAUUCGUUUGGUGCCGGGAGCCGCUUCGGUAGCUGUCCGCCCAUACCGCUACCCUGCUGCCCAGAAGGACGAGCUUGAGAGGCAAUGUGCAGACAUGCUGGAACGUGGGCUGAUUCGACGCAGCACCUCGGAGUUCUCUUCCCCGGUGCUCCUCGUCCGAAAGAGCGACGGGUCUUGGCGUUUCUGCGUCGACUACCGCGCCCUCAACACCAACACGGUCAAAGACAAGUUUCCCAUCCCCGUCGUCGACGAACUACUCGAUGAGCUUAAGGGCGCCCGCUUCUUCACCAAGCUGGAUCUGCGCUCUGGCUAUCACCAAGUGCGCAUGUGCCCGGAGGACGUACACAAGACCGCGUUCCGCACCCAUGAAGGCCUCUUCGAGUUUCUCGUCAUGGCCUUUGGCCUCACGAACGCUCAGGCAACCUUCCAGGCCUUAAUGAAUGACGUUCUUCGUCCCUUUCUACAUCAAUUUGUGCUGGUCUUUUUUGAUGAUAUUUUGGUGUACAACUCAUCUUGGUCAGACCACAUCCGUCACGUCAAGGUUGUCCUGGAGCUCAUGCAGCAACACCAACUCUAUCUCAAGCGCUCCAAGUGUGCCUUUGGGGAGGAAUCAGUGGCGUACCUCGGCCAUGUUAUCUCCGCGGAUGGCGUCGCCAUGGACAGCCAGAAGGUGAUGGCCAUCAUCGACUGGGCCACGCCACGAUCUGUCCGUGCAGUCCGCGGCUUCCUGGGAUUGGCAGGCUAUUACCGCAAGUUCAUCCGCGACUUCGGCGUCAUGGUUGCGCCCCUCACUGCCUUGCUGAAGAAAGACGGGUUCCUCUGGUCAGAGGAGGCUGACCGGGCGUUCCUUCAGCUGAAGACCACGCUCACCACGGCACCCGUGUUGCAGCUUCCCGACUUCACCCUCCCUCCCGUUCACCAUGGAGUGUGACGCUUUAGGCUCAGGGUUUGGCGCCGUGCUGCACCAAGGCACGGGUCCUAUCGCCUACUUCAGUCGCCCGAUCGCUCCUCGCCAUGCGCCCCUGGCAGCCUACGAGCGCGAGCUCAUUGGCCUGGUCCAGGCAGUACGGCACUGGCGGCCGUACCUAUGGGGUCGCUCCUUCAUUGUCAAGACGGACCACUACAGCCUCAAGUUCCUCCUCGACCAGUGCCUGGCGACAAUACCCCAACAUCAUUGGGUUGGCAAACUUUUGGGGUUCGACUUCACGAGGGAGUAUAAACCUGGCCACCUUAACACGGUGGCCGACGCUCUCUCUCGACACGACUUCCCUGACGCCUGUGCCUGUGCAAUCACGGGUCCCGCCUUCGACCUCUUCGACGCUCUUCGCCAAGCAGCCCACACUGACCCUGCUCUCGUCACAUUGCGUGAGCAGUUGGAGGUUGGAUGGCCUUGUCACCUUCAAGCGCCGUGCGUACGUGCCCCCAUCAUCUCCAUUGGUGGCGGAUGUCCUACUGGCCGCUCACGACGAGGGCCAUGAAGGCAUUCAAAAAUCACUUCAUCGGCUUCGCCCCGACUUCCACCUUUCGCAAGCCCGUGCUGCUCUCCAGGACUACAUUCGGGUUUGCAUGGUGUGUCAGCGCAACAAGACCGAGCAGCUCCAUCCGGCUGGUCUACUUCAGCCUUUGGCCGUGCCGUCUCAUGUUUGGGAAGAUAUCUCCAUGGACUUCAUCGAAGGGCUGCCAAAGGUGGGUGGCAAAAGCGUCAUCCUCACUGUCGUUGAUCGCUUCUCCAAGUAUGCCCACUUUAUUCCGCUGGCGCAUUCCUACACUGCGGAGUCGGUGACCAAGGCCUUCUUCGCCGACAUUGUUCGCCUCCAUGGCGUUCCAGCCUCCAUCGUCUCUGACCGCGAUGUGGUUUUCACUUCCAGGUUUUGGAAAGCUCUCUUUGCAGCUUCUGGCUCUCGCCUGCAUAUGAGUUCAGCAUUCCACCCGCAGAUGGAUGGCCAGUCAAAGGCUGUCAAUUGAGUCAUUGCCAUGUAUUUGCGCUGCUUCACGGGCGACCGUCCUCGGCAGUGGCUUCAUUGGCUCCCUUGGGCAGAGUAUUGCUACAACACCUCCUUCCACACUGCCCUGAAGGACACGCCUUUCCAUGUGGUCUAUGGACGUGAUCCUCUGUCUUUACGGACAUAUACAUCGGGCAAAAUCCGCAAUCAAGCUGUGGAACGCAACAUCGUCGACCGUGACCAGUUUUUGAUUGACAUCCGUGAGCGUCUGGUCCAGGCUGCCCAGCACUACAAGCAUUAUUAUGAUGGCAAGCAUCGGUUGCUUUCCUUCGACGUUGGCAAAUGGGCUUGGCUGCGCUUACACCACAGACCAGCAGCCUUCCUCGGCGCAGGUGCAAAGGGCAAGUUGGCACCUAAAUUUUAUGGUCCCUACAAGGUCAUUGGCAAGAUUGAUUCAGUGGCUUAUCGCUUGGAGCUGCCACCUCGUGCUCGUAUCCAUAAUGUCUUCCAUGUUGGUGUUUUGAAGAAAUACCAUGGGCCUCCCCCGGAUGCGCCGCCUAUUCUGCCCGCCAUGUUUCAAGGACGCGUCCAGCCUACGCCGGCUAAAGCCUUGCGUGCUCGCCUUGCCCGCGGUGUACAGCAAGUCCUCAUCCAGUGGGCAGGACAGCAGGCUUCAGCAGCUUCUUGGGAGGAUGUUCCCGUCUUCAGGGAGCGCUACCCAGAUUUUCAGCUCGAGGACGAGCUGUUUCAGAAUGGAGGGGGAGAUGUCAUGUGGGGGCGCACGUAUAGGCGGCGGCCACCUAGGGCAGAGAAGGACCCAACAUCUGGGUCAGCUUAGUUAAUUUUAGUAAUUAAGAGUCCAGAUUGGAGAUAGAAAGGUUUCGUCCCGUAGAAGGUUUUCCCUACUGUUUCCAAUCUGAUUAGGAGUUCUAUUCCAAUUCUGUAAGAGUCUAGCUUGAUCCCCAAGUCUGUAAGGGCUAUUUAUAGUCCCCCCUAGUCAAUCAAUAAAGCAAGCAAUCAAAAAACCCAAACCCUAUCUUCCCCUGCGCCCUGGGCGCCCCAAUUUCCUGCCACGGGGCGACGAGGUUACAAGCCUCGUCCUCCCGUAGAGCACCCUUACUUCCUGCGAUCUUCCUCUAAUUCCCAAAUUCCCCAAGCACGUGACAGUCACCUUAAGAGUUGAGCUGGUCAUAUUGUAAACCUAUAAUCAAUUCAAACCACAUAACCAUUGGCUAUCUGCAAAUAUAUACGUGGUCUAGUCGUAUGCACUAGAUCUGAGUUAUUGGAUCAUGUGGGUUCAAGUCUCUUAACUAUGUCUAGCCCAAUUCAGGAGUUUAUU